AAUUGUUUACCGAUAUUAUGCGAAUAACGGUGGAGGGAGGAGGAAUCGAAUAUAGGUUACAGUUUAUAACCUAUAUUAAUAAAUCUAUAACUCAUAGGUAUACGCGCUUAAUUCCGUGUUAUACAGUUGUUAUUCCACUUAUGCCACGGGUCACGUAUACAUUAAUUUUAUAAAUGCUUAUUAAACCGCAGUAUACAGAUUCGACAAAACUUUAGCGGGUAUAAGGGUACCUAUGUUUAUAAUAAAACUCGAUGAAUAAAUUAUAAUAUCUAGAUAGGCAAUCAUGCCGCCGACGACACGGUGGCGAUAUAUUUUCAAGUAAUAAAAGUUAAAGGCAUUUUCUAUUUCUAUUCAUGUAUAUGUGUCCGAAUAGUAUCUGUAGUAUC